CUGCAACCCACCCUACCCCAACAGGGAGGAAAAAAGGAGAGGAAAAUGAUCAAGAUUCCUCUUUUCCACUUCACUAUGUGUCGUGGACGGAUUAGAUCCCUUCGGAUUUCAGGUUCGAGUCUUGGAUAUAAAGAAGUUACUAAUAGAAAGCAAAUCCUCCUAUCGGGGCGUAAAUCAAAAUUAACGAAUCCAGUAAAUGUUGAAUACCCAGGGAUUAUUAGAAGGCUCUUUUCUACUUUCUUGCUAAAGCUUCUUUCAUUGAGGUGAGCCAAGGGAUAGUGGUGGUACCUUUGGACCUUUUUGCUUUGUCUUUUGUUGUCACCUUUCCAUUUCCAUACAUUUCCAGAGACUUGACAUUAACAAAUAUGUACAUUAAUUAAAUAAUGCAUAGAACUUCAC
rnacentral:lncRNA from 1 species